UAUUUGCAGGUUCAACAUAUCAUCACUUGAAUACAUCAGGAACUGGAACAUGGAGGAGUGUGCCCACCUUUUAUACCUGUGGGCGGGGAUUCAGGAAUACUACCUGGAGCUGCUGUGACCACUCUAGGAUAUUACCCCCAUCCAUCCUCAACUUGGGAAAGUCAACAGGCGGAAGAGCGCAUGCGCGAAGUCCAUUUCAGCUCCGCCGUCGCCGAGGAAGGACCUGUUCGUCGCGGCUCCGCUGUAGAGGCC